GAUGAACGCUGGCGGCGUGCCUAAUACAUGCAAGUCGAGCGAACGGACGAGAAGCUUGCUUCUCUGAUGUUAGCGGCGGACGGGUGAGUAACACGUGGAUAACCUACCUAUAAGACUGGGAUAACUUCGGGAAACCGUAGCUAAUACCGGAUAAUAUUUUGAACCGCAUGGUUCAAAAGUGAAAGACGGUCUUGCUGUCACUUAUAGAUGGAUCCGCGCUGCAUUAGCUAGUUGGUAAGGUAACGGCUUACCAAGGAAACGAUGCAUAGCCGACCUGAGAGGGUGAUCGGCCACACUGGAACUGAGACACGGUCCAGACUCCUACGGGAGGCAGCAGUAGGGAAUCUUCCGCAAUGGGCGAAAGCCUGACGGAGCAACGCCGCGUGAGUGAUGAAGGUCUUCGGAUCGUAAAACUCUGUUAUUAGGGAAGAACAUAUGUGUAAGUAACUGUGCACAUCUUGACGGUACCUAAUCAGAAAGCCAGGGCUAACUACGUG
rnacentral:rRNA from 1 species